rnacentral:rRNA from 1 species
CAGCCGCCGCGGUAAUACGUAGGGUGCGAGCGUUAAUCGGAUUUACUGGGCGUAAAGCGUGCGCAGGCGGCCCGUUAAGACAGGUGUGAAAUCCCUGGGCUCAACCUAGGAAUUGCGCUUGUGACUGGCGGGCUCGAGUACGGUAGAGGGGGGUGGAAUUCCUAGUGUAGCAGUGAAAUGCGUAGAGAUCAGGAGGAACACCGAUGGCGAAGGCAGCCCCCUGGGCCUGUACUGACGCUCAUGCACGAAAGCGUGGGGAGCAAACAGGAUUAGAUCCCCUGGUAGUCCACGCCCUAAACGAUGGGUACUAGCCGUUUGGUGCGCGAUAGCGCUGAGUGGCGAAGCUAACGCGUGAAGUCCCCCGCCUGGGGAGUACGGCCGCAAGGUUGAAACUUAAAGGAAUUGGCGGG